GGAAACUCUGGUGGAGGUCCGUAGU
rnacentral:piRNA from 3 species